rnacentral:rRNA from 1 species
CAGCAGCCGCGGGAAUACGAAGGGGGCUAGCGUUGCUCGGAAUUACUGGGCGUAAAGGGAGCGUAGGCGGAUCGUUAAGUUGGGGGUGAAAGCCCGGGGCUCAACCUCGGAACUGCCUUCAAUACUGGCGAUCUUGAGUAUGAGAGAGGUGUGUGGAACUCCGAGUGUAGAGGUGAAAUUCGUAGAUAUUCGGAAGAACACCAGUGGCGAAGGCGACACACUGGCUCGUUACUGACGCUGAAGCUCGAAAGCGUGGGGAGCAAACAGGAUUAGAUACCCGCGUAGUCCCUGUCUCUUAUAC